rnacentral:rRNA from 1 species
AGUGAACGCUGGCGGUAGGCCUAACACAUGCAAGUCGAACGGCAGCACAGUAAGAGCUUGCUCUUACGGGUGGCGAGUGGCGGACGGGUGAGGAAUACAUCGGAAUCUACUUUUUCGUGGGGGAUAACGUAGGGAAACUUACGCUAAUACCGCAUACGACCUACGGGUGAAAGCAGGGGAUCUUCGGACCUUGCGCGAUUGAAUGAGCCGAUGUCGGAUUAGCUAGUUGGCGGGGUAAAGGCCCACCAAGGCGACGAUCCGUAGCUGGUCUGAGAAGAUGAUCAGCCACACUGGAACUGAGACACGGUCCAGACUCCUACGGGAGGCAGCAGUGGGGAAUAUUGGACAAUGGGCGCAAGCCUGAUCCAGCCAUACCGCGUGGGUGAAGAAGGCCUUCGGGUUGUAAAGCCCAUUUGUUGGGAAAGAAAAGCAGCAGGUUAAUACCCCGCUGUUCUGACGGUACCCAAAGAAUAAGCACCGGCUAACUUCGUG